rnacentral:lncRNA from 1 species
CUCGUAUUUCUGAGAACACUUUAUACAAGCCUUGCACAAGCCCACUCUCAUAAAAGCGUGUCUGUGGUGACAUCCAGAGCCACAAGAAGGGGAGCGGUAGAAAGGCCCAAAGUGGUGAGGACAGCCCACAAGUGGAACUGGCAGGAGCGAACCCCAAGAGGGUGGGAAGGGGUGGAUACAGCACCGGAGACAUGAGCCCCGGCACUCCUUCCCAGCAGUGCCUUUCUGGAGAGGCACGGGGCAGGCAGGGGGAUGGCAGCCCGCCGGCGCCCGCAGCUCUGCCCGCCACGGAGCCCCGGCGGCUCGGGGCGCUGAGCGGAGCCCGGGCGGGCCAUGAGCGGGGCGCAGGGAGGGCAGGAGGCAGCCCCGGCCGAGCGGAGCUGAGCCAGUUCCUGCCAGCGCCCCUGGACACUGUGAGCCCCUAACACCCACAGCUGAGCCCUGGACAGCGCUGGGGCCGAGCUCCUGCCCUGCUGACAGGGAUGAAGGCAGAGCCAUGUUCCCUGCUACCUGAGCUGCCUGCUGCUGCUGCAGCUCGUGGAUAUGGUGCCAGCCCUGGCUCUGCGCACAGACUCUCAGCUCUGAGGAUUUAGGGGCAGCAGAGCCCCCAGCUGUGGAGCACGCUCCCCCAGCCACCCCAGCACGGAGGGGCUGCAGCUCUGGAGAGUUACUAUGCAGCUUGGACUGCUUGUGGUGGUGGUUUUUCUGAGCUCCAUGGAUCCAACAGGCAGCAGCAAGGUGGUGAAGGGCAAGAGGCAAAGACGAAGUAUGUAUGAAAUGCUUUUCUUGUCUACUUCUUCUCAUGGUGUGAGAAGGGGCUGGGCAGGGCCUGUGGUGCCCCAAGAGCCUGCAGAGAUCCCCAAAUCCCUCUCACCAUGUGCCCUGACCUGUCCCCUGAUGUAAGAGAUGAAAUGAAGGAUGUGGGACUCCAGGCUGCUCUCCAAAAUGCAGUUUAUUGUAUUCAAGAGGUUACAGCAGUCCAGGGUUGUGGGUGACAGAGCCUGUGCCUACAGCUGUCAGCUCCAGCUGCAGGCAGGCCUGGAGACCUUGAGGUUAGGUUACAGUACAUUAUAUACUUUUCUUUAGGUCACAAUCCAUUCUAUACUUUUCUUUGCUG